GAAGUGCGAUAAGUAAUGUGAAUUGCGGAAUGCCGUGAAUCAUCGAAUCUUUGAACGCACAUUGCGCCCGCGAGCACUCUGGCGGGCAUGCCUGUUCGAGCGUCAUUUCAACCAUCAAGCCCCGGGCUUGUGUUGGGGACCUGCGGCUGCCCGCAGGCCCUGAAAAACAGUGGCGGGCUCGCUGUCAUCCCGAGCGUAGUAGUAUUAUCUCGCUUAGGGCGUGCUGCGGGUUCCGGCCGUUAAACCCUUUUAUACCCCAAGGUUGACCUCGGAUCAGGUAGGAAUACCCGCUGAACUUAA
rnacentral:misc_RNA from 1 species